ensembl:miRNA MIR522 microRNA 522
UCUCAGGCUGUGACCCUCUAGAGGGAAGCGAUUUCUGUGAUCUGAAAGAAAAGAAAAUGGUUCCCUUUAGAGUGUUACUGUUUGAGA